UUUAGUACGUAGGCGCCAUGGAUGGCGAAUCGUGCAUGCUACUGGUACGGGCUAGUGGUAUCUAUGAAGAUUC
rfam:Glossina brevipalpis unplaced genomic scaffold Scaffold143, whole genome shotgun sequence.